rnacentral:lncRNA from 10 species
AGCCUUUAUCUCCACUCUGCGGAGAUUCACGCCUGGAAAACGCUCUUCUGAGAGGAUCUGUGGAGGUCAACCCAGGAGAGAGAAGACAGGACUGAAGCACUGAAAGGGUCCUGCCGUUAAGGGCGCAGGAUUGUAUAGAAUAUAUAAUAGCAGUAGCAGCUCUGUUUACGGAGCAUUAACCUUACGUGGAGUUAUUUCCUGCAUUUCCUCCUUUCGUCUUUACAAGGUAGCCGUUUGGCGUCGUGAGAGAUUGGGUCUCUCCACAUUGCCCCGGCUGCUCUCCAACCCCUGAGUUCAAGUGAUUCACCUCCCUUGGCCUCCCAAAGUACUGGGAUUACAGGCGUGAGCCACCGUGCCUGGCUGAGAAGAUGGAUUUAAGACAUAUUUUGGAGCGGAAAGUGACCAGAAGAGGUGUGCAGUUUCCAGGCCUGGCCCAUACAGACCUCCAACAGGUGCUCCCCUGUGCUGUUACUCCUUCUGCCAACUGGAAGCAGAUGGUGACCAGGCUCUGGAGAAGGCAAGGCCUGAAGAUGGGAGAUUCCUAAGUGGAGGAGAACUGUGCCUUACUGACCUAAAUAUCCACUCAGUAUUGUUAUGUGAGAAUAAAUAAACUUGUGUUGACCGUU